CAAGUCUGGUGCCAGCAGCCGCGGUAAUUCCAGCUCCAAUAGCGUAUAUUAAAGUUGUUGCAGUUAAAAAGCUCGUAGUUGGAUUUCUGUUAAUAAUUUAUAUAUAAUAUUUUAAUAUAUUUAUAUAAUAUUAACAUAAUUCAUAUUACUAUAAUUAUUUUUAGUAUAUGAAAUUUUACUUUGAGAAAAUUAGAGUGCUUAAAGCAGGCAUAUGCCUUGAAUACUCCAGCAUGGAAUAAUAUAAAAGAUUUUUAUCUUUUUUAUUGGUUCUAGGAUAAAAAUAAUGAUUAAUAGGGACAGUUGGGGGCAUUUGUAUUUAACAGUCAGAGGUGAAAUUCUUAGAUUUGUUAAAGACAAACUAAUGCGAAAGCAUUUGCCAAGGAUGUUUUCAUUAAUCAAGAACGAAAGUUAGGGGAUCGAAGACGAUCAGAUACCGUCGUAGUCUUAACCAUAAACUAUGCCAACUAGAGAUUGGAGGUUGUUCCUUACUCCUUCAGCACCUUA
rnacentral:rRNA from 1 species